AAUUGUGAUCACCUACCUUUGCUUUUCUUCUCAAUUACUUUACUCUCAAUUUCCCAUCUUCUGAUUCUGAUUCUGAUUCCUUCUCUUGUAAGAUCCAAAAAAUGGGUAAUGAUUGAGUCUUCCAUGGAUGAAUGAUUAGGUUCAUUCACAGAGCAAGUAACAGAAAUGGGUUCUGCAAGUAACUCCAAUCCAAAUCCAUAUCCAUGGACUCCAAAGGAUUGUUCUGAAGGAAUCUGCAGCAUCUACUGCCCCCAGUGGUGUUACAUAGUCUACUCUCCUCCUCCUCCUUCACUCUUCUUUGGUGCUAAUGCUGAUGCUGAUGAUCCUUCAGGAUUUCAGUUUUCUCCUCUCAUAGUUGCUGUGAUUGGAAUAUUAGCCAGCACUUUCAUCUUGGUCACAUACUACACCAUCAUCUCAAGGUUCUGCAGACGCAGCACCACCAUGCAAUCAAAUGAUUCUGCACCAGAAGAAGAUGGGAGCAGUGAACUGGGUCAGGUUUCUUCUUCCUCAAACUCUGGUUUGGAUGAGGCUCUCAUCAAAUCCAUCACAGUCUGCAAAUACACCAAAGGGGUGGUGGAGGCUCAUGAUUGUUCGGUUUGUUUGAGUGAGUUUGAAGAGAAUGAGAGUUUGAGAUUGUUGCCAAAAUGCAACCAUGCGUUUCAUCUCCCUUGCAUUGAUCCUUGGCUCAAAUCUCAUGCCUCUUGCCCCUUGUGCCGUUCCACCAUCACCAUUGUUUGCCCAAAUCCUGCCAUGGAACCGCCACCAACACUCACUGUUAAUGCCUUGGAAUACCAGCAUAGAAGUAGCCAUGUUCUUGUUGUGGUUGUUCAGAGCUCCGAGCAGCAGCAUAAGGUGCUAAGUUUUGAUUCUCACACUUUCAAUGAGACUGAAGGGUAGAUGAACUUAGAUCUAUGUUCACAAGAUUGAAAGAGAAAGAGAGAGAGAGGGAACAAAUUCUGUUCUUCCAAAUUCAUGAGAGUUGGUUUAGCCAAGAGGAACUCCACAAGUAUCAAGUUUCUUCUAAAUGUCCUUACAUUACAUCUUUCUGUAUAGUUGUGAAUAUUGGUAGAUCAUUUUUGCCAAGCUUUGAUGAAUCUCCUUUCGGAAAGGAAACAAAGAUUAACUUAUUUUCAAUUUCGGAAACUAGUCUUUAGAAUCAAAGACUGGUUUUUUUCUUUAAAAUUUUUCUACCACACUUUUGACCCACUUUCUACCAAAAACCGGUCUUUCACCUUUAUAUAAUACAAUGUUCUACUUUUUCAUUUGUAAUCAAACUUAUAUUUCCAACAGCAAGUUGUAUUUAAACUGUUGGAGGUCUUGAUUUCUAAGUAAUAGAAAUAAGAUGGAUUGAGUUAAAAAUUGAAUUGGUCUGAGCUGCAUCUGAAGACAGUUGAUAACUGAUUUUUUGGUUCUUGAAUUAGUUAUGUUCUCUGGGGUUGAACUAGCAUUUC